rnacentral:rRNA from 1 species
GACGAACGCUGGCGGCGUGCUUAACACAUGCAAGUCGAACGGCAACGCCCUUCUUUUGUGGUGUGCUCGAGUGGCGAACGGGUGAGUAACACGUCAGUACCUUGCCCUUGACUUUGGGUUAACUUCAGAAAACUGGGGCUAUUCCCGGUUCGGAGUUCCUGCUGCAUGGUGGGGCUUUGAAAGUUUAGGCGGUUGGGGUUGGCCUCGCGGCUUAUCCGCUUGUUGGUGGGGUAGUCGUAUCCCAAGGCCUUGCCCGAUAUCCGGCAUGAGAGGGGCACCGGCGACAUUGGGACUGAGAUACGGACCAGACUCCAACGGGAGGCAGCAGUGGAGAGUAUUGUACAAUAGGGGGAAGCGUGAGGCAGCAACGCCGGGUGCGGGAUGAAGGCCUGCGGGUUGUAAACCGCUUUCGCCUGUGACGAAGGGGGAGUGACGGUAAUGGGUGAAGAAGCACCGGCUAACUACGUG